rnacentral:rRNA from 1 species
GAGUUUGAACCUGGCUCAGGACGAACGCUGGCGGCGUGCCUAAUACAUGCAAGUCGAGCGAGCUUGCCUAGAUGAUUUUAGUGCUUGCACUAAAUGAAACUAGAUACAAGCGAGCGGCGGACGGGUGAGUAACACGUGGGUAACCUGCCCAAGAGACUGGGAUAACACCUGGAAACAGAUGCUAAUACCGGAUAACAACACUAGACGCAUGUCUAGAGUUUGAAAGAUGGUUCUGCUAUCACUCUUGGAUGGACCUGCGGUGCAUUAGCUAGUUGGUAAGGUAACGGCUUACCAAGGCAAUGAUGCAUAGCCGAGUUGAGAGACUGAUCGGCCACAUUGGGACUGAGACACGGCCCAAACUCCUACGGGAGGCAGCAGUAGGGAAUCUUCCACAAUGGACGAAAGUCUGAUGGAGCAACGCCGCGUGAGUGAAGAAGGGUUUCGGCUCGUAAAGCUCUGUUGGUAGUGAAGAAAGAUAGAGGUAGUAACUGGCC